GACGAACGCUGGCGGCGUGCUUAACACAUGCAAGUCGAACGGAAAGGCCCUGCUUUUGUGGGGUGCUCGAGUGGCGAACGGGUGAGUAACACGUGAGUAACCUGCCCUUGACUUUGGGAUAACUUCAGGAAACUGGGGCUAAUACCGGAUAGGAGCUCCUGCUGCAUGGUGGGGGUUGGAAAGUUUCGGCGGUUGGGGAUGGACUCGCGGCUUAUCAGCUUGUUGGUGGGGUAGUGGCUUACCAAGGCUUGGACGGGUAGCCUGGCUGAGAGGGUGACCGGCCACACUGGGACGGAGAUGCGGCCCAGACUCCUACGGGAGGCAGCAGAGGGGAAGAGUGCACAAUGGGAGGAAGCCUGAUCCAGCAACGCCGCGUGCGGGAUGACGUCCUGCGGGUAGUAAACCGCUUUCGCCUGUGACGAAGCGUGAGUGACGGUAAUGGGUAAAGAAGCACCGGCUAACUACGUG
rnacentral:rRNA from 1 species